rnacentral:rRNA from 1 species
UACGAAGGGGGCUAGCGUUGCUCGGAAUUACUGGGCGUAAAGCGCACGUAGGCGGAUUGUUAAGUCGGGGGUGAAAUCCUGGAGCUCAACUCCAGAACUGCCUUCGAUACUGGCGAUCUCGAGUUCGGGAGAGGUGAGUGGAACUGCGAGUGUAGAGGUGAAAUUCGUAGAUAUUCGCAAGAACACCAGUGGCGAAGGCGGCUCACUGGCCCGAUACUGACGCUGAGGUACGAAAGCGUGGGGAGCAAACAGGG